rnacentral:rRNA from 1 species
ACGCGAAGACCCCGAAAGGGGUUUGUAGCGUGGCAAACGGGUGAGUAACGCGUGGGCGACCUACCUUCGAGCGGGGGAUAACCUUCCGAAAGGAGGGCUAAUACCGCAUGACAUCCCGUGUUUGGAUACACGGAGAUCAAAGCCGGGGAUCGCAAGACCUGGCACUUGAAGAGGGGCCCGCGUCCGAUUAGCUAGUUGGCGAGGUAACGGCUCACCAAGGCUCCGAUCGGUAUCCGGCCUGAGAGGGCGGACGGACACACUGGAACUGAGACACGGUCCAGACUCCUACGGGAGGCAGCAGUGGGGAAUUGUUCGCAAUGGGCGCAAGCCUGACGACGCAACGCCGCGUGGAGGAUGAAGACCUUCGGGUCGUAAACUCCUUUCGACCGAGAUGAAGAGGCGCCGACCUAACACGUCGGCGUCCUGACAGUAUCGAGGGAAGCAGCCCCGGCUAACUCCGUGCCAGCAGCCGCGGUAAUACGGGGGGGGCAAGCGUUGUUCGGAAUUACUGGGCGUAAAGGGUUUGUAGGUGGCCGGCUAAGUCAGACGUGAAAUCCCUCAGCUUAACUGGGGAACUGCGUCUGGGACUGGUCGGCUUGAGGGUCGGAGAGGAACGCGGAAUUCCAGGUGUAGCGGUGAAAAUGCGUAGAUAUCUGGAGGAACACCGGUGGCGAA